rnacentral:rRNA from 1 species
UACGUAGGGAGCAAGCGUUUGUCCGGAAUCAUUGGGCGUAAAGCGCGCGUAGGCGGCCUCGUAAGUCCGUUGUGAAAGUCAAAGGCUCAACCUUUGAAAGCCGAUGGAUACUGUGAGGCUAGAGUCCGGAAGAGGCGAGUGGAAUUCCUGGUGUAGCGGUGGAAUGCGCAGAUAUCAGGAGGAACACCAAUAGCGAAGGCAGCUCGCUGGGACGGUACUGACGCUAAGGCGCGAAAGCGUGGGGAGCGAAACAGG